GACGAACGCUGGCGGCGUGCUUAACACAUGCAAGUCGAGCGGUAAGGCCCUUUCGGGGGUACACGAGCGGCGAACGGGUGAGUAACACGUGGGUGACCUGCCCUCAGCUCUGGGAUAAGCCUGGGAAACUGGGUCUAAUACCGGAUAUGACUCCACGGUGCAUGUCGUGGGGUGGAAAGCCUUGUGCGGCUGAGGAUGGGCCCGCGGCCUAUCAGCUUGUUGGUGGGGUGAUGGCCUACCAAGGCGACGACGGGUAGCCGGCCUGAGAGGGCGACCGGCCACACUGGGACUGAGACACGGCCCAGACUCCUACGGGAGGCAGCAGUGGGGAAUCUUGGACAAUGGGCGCAAGCCUGAUCCAGCCAUGCCGCGUGAGUGACGAAGGCCUUAGGGUUGUAAAGCUCUUUGCCGGGGACGAUAAUGACGGUACCCGGAGAAUAAGUCCCGGCUAAC
rnacentral:rRNA from 1 species